rnacentral:rRNA from 1 species
CCUACGGGUCGCACCAGUAGGGAAUCUUCGGCAAUGGACGAAAGUCUGACCGAGCAACGCCGCGUGAGUGAAGAAGGUUUUCGGAUCGUAAAACUCUGUUGUUAGAGAAGAACAAGUAGGAGAGUAACUGCUCUUACCUUGACGGUAUCUAACCAGAAAGCCACGGCUAACUACGUGCCAGCAGCCGCGGUAAUACGUAGGUGGCAAGCGUUGUCCGGAUUUAUUGGGCGUAAAGCGAGCGCAGGCGGUCUUUUAAGUCUGAUGUGAAAGCCCUCGGCUCAACCGAGGAAGGUCAUUGGAAACUGGAGGACUUGAGUGCAGAAGAGGAGAGUGGAAUUCCAUGUGUAGCGGUGAAAUGCGUAGAUAUAUGGAGGAACACCAGUGGCGAAGGCGACUCUCUGGUCUGUGACUGACGCUGAGGCUCGAAAGCGUGGGGAGCAAACAGGAUUAGAUACCCCUGUAGUC